UCAAAAGUUCUGUUCCAUUCUCUAGUCUUCAGAGUUUUGCGUCUUCAAGCAAAGAGGAGAAGAAGAAGAAGCUGUGAGCCUCCCUAACCGCCAUCCUUCCACCUUGUGCCUUGAUAUUGAAGCCUUGCGUUCAAGUUCUUCAAGUGUUCAUCGUCUACAAGUGUUCUUCAUUCAUCUCUUCACGGUGUAAUUCGAUCUUUUUUCUUAUAAACUCUUUGGUUUUUCUUUGUUUGAAUUCGUGAACAAUGAUUUCUAGUAAGGGAAAAGAACUCUUUGGUUUUUCUUUGUUUGAAUUCGUGAACAAGGAUUUCUAGUUAACAUAUAACGUUAAGGGCAAAGUUUAAAGCUCGUCUCUAUGUUUGAAUAAAAGUUGUGAUUUCUUUAUAGUUGCUUUCUAUGUUGCUUAUGUGAGAUUGCUUAAUUGAUUUAAAAAAAAAAAAACUUUUGCAUGUUUAUGUUCUUUGGUGGCCAACUUAGGAUAUAUGCAUGUAAUUGAAGCUAGAUUUAGGUUAACAAUUCACCUAAUAGUUUUGUGAACCUAAUUCAUAAGUAGUAAAGGCUUUGGACAAAAGUCGAAAUCAAUUAAGGAGGAUUGCAAAUAGAUGAACUUUUUCAUACUAGGUUGUGCACUUUGGUUGACAUCCUUUCUUUGUUCUUCAUGCGUUGAAUGUGUUCUUGAUUAGCUAACUUUCUAGACUAUGAUUGCAUGUUCAAUAGGAUUAAUUUAGGUGCUUACACUUAGAUUAAUUAUUUAAGAAAAGUAAAAUAUAGGAAAUCGUUUGCUUACUAAUGUUUCACGUGGUCAACUUCUUUCUCAUGACAUAGAAAAUCAACUAUAGGUAAUUGGAUUUCGUUCAUAUGAUUGUGGUUUUGAUCUUUGUUCCUUGCAUUCCAUGCCUUGUAUAUGUAUUUUACAUUUUAAUUUUUGUUUCUUUUAAUUUUUAAUUUCAAAACCUAAAAUCCCCCAUUUAAUUUCAUGUGUAUAUUUUCAUUCUUUGUUUUAUUUUUGUAAAUAAUACUUUAUACUUAUAUUAAUUCUUUAUUUGUUUAUGCAAUUACAGGUGUACCCUCAAUCUCCGGCUUGAACGAUCCCUACUUAUUCUAUACUGACAACUACAUUUUGCAGGGUUAAAUUGUGUGCUACUUACAGCAUGUCAGAAACUGACUUUCUGAGUUUUGUUAAUCUCCGGGGCAAGGGUGAAUGGACUGUCACUCCUGUUCUUCAUGAUGGCUUGUUCUUUUUUUUUUUUGUCUAAUUGAUGGUAAUAUGCUAUCUACUUGAGAAGUAUAAAACUAAGACUUUAUAAUUGGUAGUGCCGUUGAUAUCAUUAAACAUUUUAAGGUCUGAAUUGUAGUGAGAUUUGAAUCUUUGGUUUACACUUCUUGUGCAGGUAGCUGAUUAGUAUAAACAAGUGUGUCCAAUGAUUGGAGAGCAUUCAUAUGGUAGUGCCAGACCAAGGCAAUGUGGUGCAUUUUUUUUUUGGGUAAAUGAAUGAAUAUAUAGAAGAAACCUGGCUUUAAACAAAGCCAGACAAGCAACAAGGAACAGUAGCUAAAAAAGCUGACAAAGCAACACCCUCAGCAAAGAGGGAACAGAAAAUCAAAGGGAAACAAACACAAACAACCUAACAGCUAUACAUCCCAGAGAUGGCCCCAUUAAGAAGGGAGUCUCCAUUCCAAUGUGGUGCAUUUGUCACAGGCUUGUUUAGGUGAGUCAAAGACGGCAGCUGACGAUGUUGUGAUCUAUGGAAAGACCAGAGGGAAGAUGCUUGUGUUGGGACAUCUUAUUCCGGGCCAAAUCCCUCAGUUGUCAUGUGACUUGCUCUUUAAUGAUGAGUUUGAGCUAUGCCACAACUAGAAAAGUGGACUGUCAAUGGACUUUAAACUUUCAAGCAUUUUAUUUGGUUUAUUGUAAAUUAUAUAUGUUGGUCAUUGUAAAUUAUUAUUGUAGCAAUUCUCAGAAGCAAA